UAUGCGAUACUUGGUGUGAAUUGCAGAAUUAAGUGAAUCAUCGAAUCUUUGAACGCACCCUUGCGCUCCUUGGUAUUCCGAGGAGCAUGCCUGUUUGAGUGUCAUUAAAUUCUCAACCCCUCCAAGCUCUUGUUGACGCUUGGUUGGUGGCUUGGAUGUUGAGGGGGCUCUUUUUGACGCAGGCCUCUUGCCAGGAGGUCAGCUCCCCUGAAAGAUAUCCUAGUGGAGCCGUUUGCGGGUCCCGUCAUUAGGUGGUGUGAUAAGCUAUCUACGCUAAAGAUUAUGAUGGGCCGCUCUCUCGUUUGUUCCAGUUUUAUUUGUCCGUUGUAUGGUCAAUCCAGGAAAUGCGAAGUUGUCCUAUGUUUGACCUCUAUAUUCCCCAGGAAGGACUACACGAUGAACUUAAGCAUAUCAAUAAGCGGAGGAA
rnacentral:rRNA from 1 species